CAGGAGGGAAAUGACAAGUACAGUCUGCUAGACCAUUUCUAGCUAUCUGGGACAAUCAAGGAUUCAAUGGUCACAGUCCAUUUAGUUCUUUGGAAAACAGCUUUCUGAUAAGAUGGUGUCUGGGAAGAUCUCCAACCCUCAGUAAUUACAGACCCAGCAUUUUCUUUUUCUACUUCAGCUGCACUUAAAGUGGAAAAUCAUCUGGCUUAGAUAGGAUGCAUCUGACGUUGUUGAGGGAAGCCAGGGAGGAAAUUGAAGAAACCCUGGCCAUAAUCUUCCAAACAUCUAUAGAUUCCAGAGUGGUCCCUGAGGACUGAAACACUGCAAAUGUUCAAAUGUUACACCCUUGUUCACAAAAGGGGCAUUGGGACAUAUCUAGUACUUACAGACCAGUUGGUUUAACCUCAUGGUAGGGCAAGCUGCAGGAACAACAAUCAGAGGAGAAUUAGUGGUCACUUUGCACAAUUGUUGAUUGAUAAGGACAAACGAGCAAUGGAUUUUCUGAAAGCAAAUCGUGUCCAGCUAACUUUAUAAAGUUUUUUUGAUGAGGUAGCAGAGAGGGUCAAGGGGAUAACAGGGUUGAUACGAUACAGAUGAGCUUCCGAAAUACAUUUGAUAAGGUGCCACAUAAUAGAUUUGUCACCAUGACUGAAGGCCAUGGAAUAAGAGCGGCUCAACACUAUGGAUAGACAAUUGGCUAAAUUUAAAGUUGUGGUAAAAGAUUGUCUCUUGGAUUAGAGGGAAGUGAACAGUGGAAUUCCCCUGGUGUUGCUACUUAGUUGGAACUGGGUGCGCAGGUCACAAAAUGCAGAGAACACAAAACCCGGAGACUGGUUGAACUUCAAGGAGAGAGAGUGAGAGAGUCAGGCUGGGGGAAAGGGUGGAUAGGUGGUAUUUGAAAUUUAAUGCUGAGAAAGGUGAAAUGUUAGGGUUAGUAAUCUCGAGGCAGAUUAGGAUCAUAGAGUAAUAGUGUCGUAAGAUAAGAUUUCUUUAUUAGUCAUGUGUACAUCAAAACACACAGUGAAAUGCAUCUUUUGCGUAGAAUGUUCUCGGGGCAGCCCACAAGUGUCGCCAUGCUUCCGGCGCCAACAUAGCAUGCCCACAACUUCCUAACCCGUAUGUCUUUGGAAUGUGGGAGGAAACCAGAGCACCUGGAGGAAACCCACACAGACACAGGGAGAACGUAAUCCUUACAGACAGGGGUCGGAAUUGAACCUGGAUCGCUGGCACUGUAGUAGCGUUACGCUAACCACUACACUACUGUGCCUGCCUGUCAUACAGCACAGAAAUAGGCCCUUUGACCCACCAUAUCCAUCUUGACCAUUGUACUUAUCUAUACUAAUCUAAUUUACCUGCAUUCAACUGCAGCAUUCAAGGGAGAGCUGUAUAAGUAUCUAAGAGGAAAGAAAGUUGCAUGGCUAUGGAAUGGGGGAGGGGUGUAUUGAGACUAACUCAAUUGUUUUUGCUUCUUUCUGUGCUAUCACCAUUCUGUGGU